rnacentral:misc_RNA from 1 species
UCUAAGUUCAAAAUGACGGUUCUUAAUCUAAAUCCUAGCCACACCUAUGUCAUAUAUUUAUGAUAAAUGUGAAAGCUAGAUAUACAUAUAACGAAGUGUUUCAUAUCAUCAGACAUGGAUGACGAGGAGGGCUGUAUGGACAGCGUCAGUAUGGCGGAGAUGGAGGCCGCGGUCAUGAUGCAGGAAAUGUUGAUUUCGAAAGAAGCGCGUGAAACCGAAAGAGCGAACGCUAUCUUACAGGAGACGAAGAAAGCCGGGGAACAACAUAAGGUUGAAUCGACGCGCAGAAGACGUCACAGAGAGCGACACUGGCUCGACACUCAAGCCUCGGAGACAGAUUUAUAAUGUAACAAAAAAUUAUCAAUAAUUAUAAAAAUGUAGGCGCUGCCCGCGACUUUACUCUUCAAAAAAAAAAACGUGUGCGCUUUAGACCACACGAUUGAAGUAAAACUUUAUUAGUUACCCCUACAGUAAUAUACGAAACGUAACUCUCUCUCUCUUUCUGUGUUCACUAACUUAAUCUCCCUCUUAACUUCCGAUCACACUUCUCGUAACGCUCUCGUCACGCAUUCACCAGCUCACUCCCCGAGUCAAACGUGCGUAAAGAGAUUUUACUUCAAUAAUUCCGAACGGCAACACUUCGCUGUUGUCCCAACAGAGUUUGUACAACAAAAUAUUAAGAGAAUUCUUGCCUAUAUGUUACCGAUAAAUUUUAUCGACAGGAAGAAAAAUAGGACCCUCGAGUCUGUUUCAUCUGAGGAUCUUUAGCGAAUGACCUUUUUUAACGGAUGAAGUAAUGAUAAAAUAUACG